rnacentral:lncRNA from 1 species
UGUAUGUGUGUAGGUGUAGAUGUGUGCAUAUGAGUGUGUAUAAGUGUGCAUGUGAAUGUAGGUGUGUGUGUGUAUAGGAGUAUGUGUAUAGGUGUGUGUAGGUGUAUAUAUGAGUGUGUGUAUAGGUGUAUACAUGGAUGUGUGUAUGUUGAAGUAUGUGUAUAUGUGUAUGGAGAUGUGUGUAAUAGUGUGCAUCUAGGAGUAUGUGUAUAGGAGUAAGUAUACGUAUGAGUGAAGGCAUGUAUAUAGGUGUGUGUAGGUGUAUGUGUGUGUGUAAAUAUGUGUAUGAGUGUAGGCAUACAUGUAGGUGUGUGUGCCAUAGAGGUGUAUGUGUGUGAAUUUGUGGAGGUGCAGAUCAGAGUACAGGUCAGAGUACAACUCUAGGAGUGGUUCUCUCCUGCCACCUUCUGGGAUCUGGAGAUUGAACUCAGGUCCUAAGGACCUGUGUGUGCACAUCUGCUUGCUGAGAAAUCUCCCCAACACAGGUAUAUCCACCUCAUUAGUAUCCAGUUUGCCUGUUUUGUUUUUAAUAAAUGAUAAAGUUUGGACAUGAUGGUGGACACCUUUAAUCCUAGCACUCAAGAGACAGAGGCAGGUAGAUCGUAGUGAAUUUGAGGCUAGCCUGGUCCACAUAGAGAUUUCCAGGACAGCCAGGGCUACACAGAGAUAGCCUGUCUCAAAAUGCAAGCAAACAAAAACAGCAAUAUGUUGGGAACUUGAUUUGUGCUUGCAUAAGCUGUGUGUCCCUACCUACAGUUGGUUUUCUGACUGGUCAUUAAAGAGCCAGCAGCCAAUGACUGGACAGAGGUGGGACUUUAAGGAUUCCAGGAGAGGAAACACAGGAGAACAAGAAGGAGAAUCGCCAGGGCAGAAGGAAAGAAGAGGAUACAGACAUGAGAGCUGUGGAAGACAGAGAACCAGCCAGGUGGGCUCUACACAUGUGGACACUGCAUCUACAUGCUCAACCAUCCUCAGAGUGCACAUACGGGGGAAAUUAUGUCUGUCCUGCACACUAGUGCACACUUGUGUUCUCAUCUUUGUCCCUUCCGCAGCACAGCACAGCGCAGCACAGCACAGCACAACACCCAGUGCUACCAUUGUCUAGGACAGUGGUUCUCAACCUUCCUCAUGCUGUGACCCUUUUAUACAGUCCCUCAUGUUGUGGUGACCCCCAACCAUAAAGUUAUUUUUGUUGCUACUCCAUAACUCUAAUUGUGCUACUGUCACGAAUCAUAAUGUAAACAUCUGUGUUUCUGAUGGUCUUAGGUGGCCCCAUGUGAAAGGGUCAUUCAAACCCACAAAGGGGUCAUGACCCACAAGUUGGAAACCACUGGUCUAGGGUCUCAGACAUCGUCUAAGGAUAAGUUGAGUUUAUGAGUGGAUGUUUGUGUAGGGCAAUCACAGCACUUGCAUAAGAGAUCUGGGCUUCCCUAAGUGUCCUGGAGGCGGGCCCUGAGGUCCUGAGAGCUAUGUGCAGAUACUGCACCCACACACUAUCAUACAAGCUGCACGAUUUGCUUGGUGCUUUCUGUGCCCUUGGCAACCUUACUUUCCUCACUGUGAGUGUAUAAUGCUCAUCAUACUCAGGGCCCUGCCAUCCCCUGAGUGUUGCCCUCGCUCUCUCUUUCCUUCUGACUUGGACCCUUGUUUUCUCAACCUAACCAACUGCAGUACCAUCUGCUUGCAGUGUAGUGAUGAGGACUGUGGUCUUCCAAGGUGUGCCUCUGCCUCAUGUUGUUCCAUUCACUGGCCCCUCUCCAAACUUCCUCUUCCCACCCAUUUGUAAAUCUCGAGAAAAGGGUGACAAACAGACAUGAACACAAGGGAGUGUGGUAUCUGAAUGUAAUUUCUCAAAGUAAGCA